rnacentral:rRNA from 1 species
GAUGAACGCUAGCUACAGGCUUAACACAUGCAAGUCGCAGGACUGGCGCACGGGUGAGUAACGCGUCUCCAAUCUUCCCAUAACUACGGGAUAACCCGUUGAAAGACGGCCUAAUACCGUAUGGUUAUUGAUGGGGAUGCGUCUGAUUAGCUUGUUGGCGGGGUAACGGCCCACCAAGGCGACGAUCAGUAGGGGUUCUGAGAGGAAGGUCCCCCACAUUGGAAAUGAGACACGGGCCAAACGCGUACGGGAGGAAGCAGUGAGGAAGAUUGGUAAAUGGGCGAGAGACUGAACCAGCCAAGUAGCGGGCAGGAGGACGGACUAUGGGUUGUAAACUGCUUGUAUGUGGGGAUAGGUACCACAUGAAGAAGGACCGGCUAAGUACGUGCCAGCAGCCGCGGUAAUAC